UACGGAGGGUGCGAGCGUUGUCCGGAAUCAUUGGGCGUAAAGGGCGCGUAGGUGGCCCGGUCAGUCUUUGGUGAAAGCGCGGGGCUCAACCCUGCGUCGGCCAGGGAUACUGCCGCGGCUGGAGCACUGUAGAGGCAGGCGGAAUUCCGGGUGUAGCGGUGGAAUGCGUAGAGAUCCGGAAGAACACCGGUGGCGAAAGCGGCGCGCUGGACCUCUUCUGACGCUGAGGCGCGAAAGCCAGGGGAGCGAACGGG
rnacentral:rRNA from 1 species